rnacentral:rRNA from 1 species
AGUCGAACGAAGGCUUCGGCCUUAGUGGCGCACGGGUGCGUAACGCGUGGGAAUCUACCCCUUGGUUCGGAAUAACAGUUAGAAAUGACUGCUAAUACCGGAUAACGACGUAAGUCCAAAGAUUUAUCGCCGAGGGAUGAGCCUGCGUAAGAUUAGCUUGUUGGUGAGGUAAAAGCUCACCAAGGCGACGAUCUUUAGCUGGUCUGAGAGGAUGAUCAGCCACACUGGGACUGAGACACGGCCCAGACUCC